rnacentral:rRNA from 1 species
CUGGCUACGAUGAACGCUAGCGGCAGGCCUAAUACAUGCAAGUCGAACGAGAUCCAAGAGCUUGCUUUUGGUGAAAGUGGCGCACGGGUGCGUAACGCGUAUGCAACCUACCUUAAUCAGGGGGAUAGCCUCUCGAAAGAGAGAUUAACACCGCAUAACAUUAUGAUAUGGCAUCAUAUUAUAAUCAAAUAUUUAUAGGAUUAAGAUGGGCAUGCGUGACAUUAGCUAGUUGGUGAGGUAACGGCUCACCAAGGCUACGAUGUCUAGGGGAUCUGAGAGGAUGACCCCCCACACUGGUACUGAGACACGGACCAGACUCCUACGGGAGGCAGCAGUAAGGAAUAUUGGUCAAUGGAGGCAACUCUGAACCAGCCAUGCCGCGUGCAGGAAGACGGCCCUAUGGGUUGUAAACUGCUUUUAUACGGGAAUAAACCUCUCUACGUGUAGGGAGUUGAAUGUACUGUAAGAAUAAGGAUCGGCUAACUCCGUGCCAGCAGCCGCGGUAAUACAAGCCGAAUUCCAGCCCACUA